rnacentral:rRNA from 1 species
UCAUUCUGACAUACUCUAUGUAUGACUAGCACCGGUUCUCGUCCGAUCACCGAAGUUAAGCAACAUUGAGCCUAGAUGGAUGACCGCUUGGGAAACCUAGGUGCUGUAAGCA